rnacentral:rRNA from 1 species
GAUGAACGCUGGCGGCGUGCCUAAAACAUGCAAGUCGAGCGAACAGACGAGGAGCUUGCUCCUCUGACGUUAGCGGCGGACGGGUGAGUAACACGUGGAUAACCUACCUAUAAGACUGGGAUAACUUCGGGAAACCGGAGCUAAUACCGGAUAAUAUAUUGAACCACAUGGUUCAAUAGUGAAAGACGGUUUUGCUGUCACUUAUAGAUGGAUCCGCGCCGCAUUAGCUAGUUGGUAAGGUAACGGCUUACCAAGGCAACGAUGCGUAGCCGACCUGAGAGGGUGAGCGGCCACACUGGAACUGAGACACGGUCCAGACUCCUACGGGAGGCAGCAGUAGGGAAUCUUCCGCAAUGGGCGAAAGCCUGACGGAGCAACGCCGCGUGAGUGAUGAAGGUCUUCGGAUCGUAAAACUCUGUUAUUAGGGAAGAACAAAUGUGUAAGUAACUAUGCACGUCUUGACGGUACCUAAGCAGAAAGCCACGGCUAACUACGU